AACGAACGCUGGCGGCGCGCUUAACACAUGCAAGUCGAACGAGAAGGCGUAGCAAUACGCUUGUAAAGUGGCGAACGGGUGAGGAAUACAUGGGGUAACCUACCCUCGAGUGGGGGAUAACCCGCCGAAGGCGGGCUAAUACCGCGUACGCUUCCGAUCUUGCGGGAUCGGAAGGAAAAGCUGUCCCAAGGGGAGUGGCGCUCAAGGAUGGGCUCAUGUCCUAUCAGCUUGUUGGUAGGGUAACGGCCUACCAAGGCAUCGACGGGUAGCUGGUCUGAGAGGACGAUCAGCCACACUGGCACUGCGACACGGGCCAGACUCCUACGGGAGGCAGCAGUGAGGAAUAUUGCGCAAUGGGCGAAA
rnacentral:rRNA from 1 species